UACGAAGGGUGCAAACGUUGCUCGGAAUCAUUGGGCGUAAAGCGCAUGUAGGCGGCCUAUCAAGUUGGAUGUGAAAUCCCUCGGCUUAACCAAGGAAGUGCAUCCAAAACUGACUGGCUUGAGUUCCAAAGAGGAUCGUAGAAUUCCCGGUGUAGAGGUGAAAUUCGUAGAUAUCGGGAGGAAUACCAGUGGCGAAGGCGGCGAUCUGGGUGGAUACUGACGCUGAGAUGCGAAAGCGUGGGGAGCAAACAGG
rnacentral:rRNA from 1 species